rnacentral:rRNA from 1 species
AUUGAACGCUGGCGGCAGGCCUAACACAUGCAAGUCGAGCGGAUAAAGGCAGCUUUCUCCUGGAUCCAGCGUCGGACGGGUGAGUAAUGCCUAUGAAUCUCCCUGGUAGUGGGGGAUAACGACCGCAAACGGCCGCUAAUACUGCCUACGUCCUGAGCCAGCAAGUUGGGGAUCUUCGGACCUCACGCGCUCAUAUGAGUCUAGGUGGGUUUAGCUAGUUGGUGGGGUAAGGGCCUACCAAGGCGGCGAUUCGUAACUGGUCUGCGAGGAUGGUCAGUCACAUGGGAGCGGGGACAGGGUCCAGACGCCUACGGGAGGCAGCAGUGGGGAAUGUUGGGCAAUGGGCGAAAGCCUGAUACAGCCAGCCGACGUGUGUGAAGAAGAUGUUCGGAGUGUGAAGCACUUUAAGGUGUGAGGAAGGGCAGUAAGUUAAGACCUAGCUUUUUUGACGUUACCAGCAGAAGAAGCACCGGCUAACUUCGUG